rnacentral:rRNA from 1 species
UACGGGGGGGGCAAGCGUUGUUCGGAAUUACUGGGCGUAAAGGGCUCGUAGGCGGCCAACUAAGUCAGACGUGAAAUCCCUCGGCUUAACCGGGGAACUGCGUCUGAUACUGGAUGGCUUGAGUGUGGGAGAGGGAUGCGGAAUUCCAGGUGUAGCGGUGAAAUGCGUAGAUAUCAGGAGGAACACCGGUGGCGAAGGCGGCUUUCUGGACAGAUACCGACGCUGAGGCACGAAAGCUAGGGGAGCAAACAGG